rnacentral:rRNA from 1 species
GUGAAUGAUGAAGGUCUUAGGAUUGUAAAAUUCUUUCACCGGGGAAGAUAAUGACGGUACCCGGAGAAGAAGACCCCGGCUAACUUCGUGCCAGCAGCCGCGGUAAUACGAAGGGGGCUAGCGUUGCUCGGAUUUACUGGGCGUAAAGGGCGCGUAGGCGGACAGUUUAGUCAGAGGUGAAAGCCCGGGGCUCAACCCCGGAAUUGCCUUUGAUACUGGCUGUCUUGAGUUUGGGAGAGGUAUGCGGAACUCCGAGUGUAGAGGUGAAAUUCGUAGAUAUUCGGAAGAACACCAGUGGCGAAGGCGGCAUACUGGCCCCAAUACUGACGCUGAGGCGCGAAAGCGUGGGGAGCAAACAGGAUUAGAUACCCUGGUAGUCCACGCCGUAAACGAUGAUUGCUAGUUGUCGGCACGCAUGCGUGUCGGUGACGCAGCUAACGCAUUAAGCAAUCCGCCUGGGGAGUACGGUCGCAAGAUUAAAACUCAAAGGAAUUGACGGGGGU